rnacentral:rRNA from 1 species
CGCCUGUUUAACAAAAACAUGUCCUCUUGCUAUAUUAUGAGAGGUCUGACCUGCCCAGUGAUUUAUUUUAACGGCCGCGGUAUUCUGACCGUGCAAAGGUAGCAUAAUCAUUAGUCUUUUAAAAGGAGGCUAGAAUGAAGGGUUUGACGAAGAAUUAACUGUCUCAUUUUAUUUGAUUAUAAAAUUUAACUUUUUAGUCAAAAGGCUAAAAUCUAAUUGGUAGACGAGAAGACCCUAUAGAGCUUUAUAUAAUUUGAUAAUAACAAUAAUAUAUUAAUAUUGCUUAUAUUAAAUUAAUAUUUUGUUGGGGUGACAAAAUAUAUAAUUAACUUUUUUAUUUUUAUUACAUUGAUUUAUGUAUAAUAGAUCCAUUAUUAUUGAUUGAUAGAUUAAGUUACCUUAGGGAUAACAGCG